CGGGAGUUGGUUACGAAGAUGUCCGACGGGGGAGCCGGGGGGCGCUCGCUACGAGCAUUCCGGGCACAAGGACACAUGCUGCCUGUUAUACCACCACGGGAGAUGCAGAUAACAUCUUUUUGUGUAAAAAUCUAUCUUGGGAGCAAUGAGACAGCACCAUCUCCACAUCACACUGCUCUCCAUCCCAUGAUCGUUAAUUCAGGUAAGGGAAGUGAGGAAUUUGCUUUUCUGGCUAGCAUUCCCUAAAGGGCAAAGCUGGCAGUUGCCCAGUGCACACGCCAGGGUUGUGUCCAUUGAAUUCCCAGACCUUUCCCAUCUGGUUCUUGUAAUAUUGGAGGUGGAUCUGCUGCUUCGUUUUGUAUUCUGCAUCCAUCUUCUCUCAGGCACGAUCUGGAAACUGCUCUGCAGCCCAUCCCACAGCAUGCGAGGUCUCCUUGUUGCGUCCAGUGGGUCAGGAAGGAAGGGAGAAAGCCCUAGAGUUACAAGAAUUCCCAAAGGGCAGCAAGUACAAAGAACAAACACAUUGUAAAAACAAGCACACAAAAAUACUUCAUUGUUUUAAAUGCAAAAGGCAUUUUCUGUUGUCAGAUGCAGGCAAACUGCAUUGCUUUUACAUAGAGAGGCUGUUAGCAGCAAACUAGCUGACCCAUGCUCGAAAGCAUUCCAAGGAUACUUCCCCCCUUGGGAGACCAGAAAUACCAGAGAAGCCAUUUUCAUACAGCCUGACUGUUCCUACCAGCACCAGGCUUGAAUCAGGCUUAUGCUUGUCAGAGAAUAGAGACAGAACCUAACUUUAUCUCAGAGGAACACACAAACCUACCCUGCAGCUUUCAGGCUGACCUUGGCCAUUUAUUGGCACCAUGCUUGGCAUGGUUUCUCAGAUAGUGACAAGAAUGUAAGUGAUAUCUGGGGUGGUAACAGGCAUGUGAGAAGGAAAUGGUUUGGCUCUGCAGAUUUCCAGGAACUUUAAGACAAGCCAAUUGGGCUCAAAUGACACUGAGAAACUACAGUGCACCAAUGGCAACAGGAUGCACCCUUUUGUACAAUAAACAGCCAUGAGGAUCACUUGCACUUUUUGCUCUAUAACCCCAGGCCAUGAGUCUGUUAUUAAAACCUAUUAAGAGCAUGCUUGUCAAUAAAAGCCCAUGAAAGAAUGCCUGUGUUCUAUGCUAG
ensembl:lncRNA